UACAAAGGUAUUGUAAUAAGGUUUUAAUUGAAUGCUAAAAGAAUGGAAUUACAGGGAAAAGUUUUUUUAAAUUUAAUAAUUGAAGUUAUUUUAAUUUGUGAAGAAACAAUUAUAUAAAUUAAAGACAAGAAGACCCUAAGAAUUUAAGAAUUUUUAUUAAUAUAUUAUAUGUAUAUAUAUAUAUAUAUAAAUAAAAUUCUUAGUUGGGGCAACUAAAAAAUAUAUUAAACUUUUUUUUUAAAAAAAAUGAUCCAUUAUUAAUGAUAAUAUGAAAAAAAUACUCUAGGGAUAACAGCGUAAUAAUUUUUGAUAGAUCUUAUAGACAAAAUAGUUUGCGACCUCGAUGUUGGAUUAGGAUACUUUUUUAAUGAAGAUGUUAAAAAAAGAAGUUUGUUCAACUUUUAAAUUCCUACAU
rnacentral:rRNA from 1 species